rnacentral:rRNA from 1 species
AGAGUUUGAUCAUGGCUCAGGAUGAACGCUGGCGGCGUGCCUAAUACAUGCAAGUGAAACGGGUAUCUUCGGAUACCAGUCGCGGACGGGUGAGUAAUACAUAGGCAACCCGCCUUAUGAGGGGGAUAACCGAGGGAAACUUUGGCUAAUACCGCAUGAAGACUCUAAGGCAUCUUAGAGGGAUAAAAGUUGGGAAACAACGCAUGAAGAUGGGCUUAUGGCGCAUUAGCUAGUUGGUGAGAUAGAAGCCCACCAAGGUAAUGAUGCGUAGCCGACCUGAGAGGGUGAACGGCCACAUUGGGACUGAGACACGGCCCAAACUCCUAUGGGAGGCAGCAGUAGGGAAUUUUCGGCAAUGGGGGGAACCCUGACCGAGCAACGCCGCGUGAAGGAAGAAGGUUUUCGGAUUGUAAACUUCUGUUAUAAGGGAAGAACGGAUUGGAUAGGGAAUGAUCUGAUAGUGACGGUACCUUAUUAGAAAGCCACGGCUAACUACGUGCCAGCAGCUGC